UAUCCCCUGAAUAGGUGUAUAAAAAUAGAACUGUAUGGAGUAGUAAAGCAUUCGCUAAAGCAACAAACAAUAUUCAAAAGUUGCAGUUUAAGCUGAAAUUAAUUUAAUUCAACGAAACCAUAUUAAAACAAUGAAGAAAGAUGAUAGUCCAAAAAGGUCAGUACAGGUUUGGGAAAUAACCUCUGGACUUAUAGAGCAGGUAGCAUGACAACGCCUUAGCCCAGAACGAGGGCGUUUCGGUGGUAAAACAGCAGAUCACAACAAGAUGGCCCAACAGCUGAUUGACAACGCAGAGUUGCAUUUUGGAAGCUUUCGAGACAAGUUGCCAUUGGGUGUGGCAGGCCAAUCACAGCCUCCCACUCACAAUAUGCAAGUGCAGCUGCUUUAAGAUUUUGCUAAUUGGAAUUGCUAAUCGAUUAGCUUAGAUUGUGAUAACCGUUGGCGCCAUUUUGAAAAGUACAAAUCGAUUUUUUCUAAUAAGUUAGAUUUAUUUUCAUUUUUAUUGUAAUUGUAAUAAUAAUUGUAGAAUUGCAAUGACUCUAAAAUCGAAAUGUACAGGUA